GAAACAAAUAUAACGGUCACUUACUUUAUACGUGCCAACACAACUCUCAGCCAGGACUGUAAAGACAACUAUGUAAAGAAAAGUGCUACAGUGGGUACGGAAAGUAUUCAGACCCCCUUAAAUUUUUCACUCUUUGUUAUAUUGCAGCCAUUUGCUAAAAUCAUUUAAGUUCAUUUUUUUUCCUCAAUGUACACACAGCACCCCAUAUUGACAGAAAAACACAGAAUUGUUGACAUUUUUGCAGAUUUAUUAAAAAAGAAAACCUGAAAUAUCACAUAUCACUAUUUGAUUACCGAGUGCAACCAUUCUACGUCAUCGCCCUAGAACGCAAACAAAAUGGCGCCGCCCAUUGUCCAAAUAUAUAAUGGAUUUUUUAAAUAACGCAGAAUUUUUAAAUUCUACUACAUAUUUCAGUAAGAGACAUCAUUUAUGUUAUAUUAAGCCAUACAAGUCUUAACACCAGGGGAUCCCUUUAAAAAAAAUUGCAAUGUUUUAUCAAUAGCCUGACAAUUUUUGCCAUGUUUUUUUUUUUUUUUCCAAGUAAAAUUAGCUAUAACUCAGGAUAGGAAUGAUAUAUCAACAAAUCCCUCUGGAAAAGCCUUCAGAAUAUAGUUCAGUAUAAGACUGGAAAAGCUGGUGCUUGUAGGUGCUACUGAAGUGGAUAUAUCUGACUCUGAGUGUGAGAAAAAAAACUCAUUUUGAGAAAACAGCCUUUAAAGUUUUAUAUUGCAUAAUUCCAUACAUUUCUAAUGACACCGACAACCUACAAUCAAAAUAUAUAUUAAAUUAAUUAAUAUCAGUAAGUGUAUAAUAUUUAAAACACAUUGAAAUAAAUGAAUAAACUAUUAAUAGCAAUAGAAGAUAACUACUUCUCUUGUCAGAGAAGAGUCAACAUUUUUUGAGUGCAAUUCACACCCACAAAAUUGUCCGAAUGCGCCACGUGCAACAUGGAUUGGGUCUUCUGACCUUUUGAUUUUGAUUAAUAUGCGAAAUAUGAGAGAGUUAAGACAGUGCUUAUUUUGAAGACAAAGAGGGGUGGAGGAGGGGCUCUCUGCUCGUUCUCUCUGUCAAUCAGUUAACAUGUGCUCUAUCACAAGCACAGAAGUCAUCUACAUCACUCAUAGAUCACAAUAACUGAUCAAACCAGGCUUUGACGGGACAAAAAUUCGUUUUGGCGGCCGCUAAAAAAAAAUAAACGCAGGAAAAACCCUGGAAUGUUAACUUUUGGUGAUUUACGGUAGAAAUCUAAAGGCGCAAGUUGACAAAAUGUAAUGAAAUAACCACCUUAAUGUGUAAUGUUGACAAUUUUGACAUGAAAGCUUACAUGUUAAGGGAGCAAACUGGCCCAAAAUCUCAAAAUUGACCACUGCAUGAAAAAACCGAUGUUUUCACCUGCCGUGUCUCGCCUUAAAAGGUGAAUUCGAAGUGCAGCAGUUAAACUCCGCUUCUGAGUGUACGCGCGCUCCCGCGGCCAGGGGAUGCAAAUCCUGGCGGGGAUAUGUGACUUAAUUGGCACGACACCCUAGCCGAUAAAACUUUGCUGACAUUCACAUGGACUUUCAUCAGUGUUUUUGCUUUAACUGUAAAUGCAACAAGUGCAAACAUUAAAAUUCCACCAGCUGGUAAAAGCGGAGAAAUUGGCAUUUUACCGCUUUUUUAACAGCUUGCUAAUACCUGUUCGACUGCCUUGCUAAGAAGUUUACAACCAAAUACUUAAACAAUAUAUUUAAGUCAACCACUCAAAACAAGCUCAAACGCUACUGACUUAAUAAAUUAAGUCGUCAACGCUUUAACCAGGUUUAAGCUACAUUUGCUAAUGCACAAACAUUUGCUAAAAGCUAGUGUUCCUAUCCUCGUAACUAAUACUUUCCAAAAAAGCUUUUGGUUAACAUCAUGCGGUAAAAUCAUCCAAGUUUAUUAUACUCUUACCUGCCUUAUUUUGUUUACACGACACCGCUGAACUCGAGGAUCCUUAACGGACAGCAGACAGUACUACUGAAAAGGCGGCAAAGUUGUUGCUGGGCAGAUUCUUUUGCUCGGCGAUGGGGGUGGAGCUUUCCAGAUGUGCGCUGCACAGAGUGCGCACUGCUUACGGUUUGAACAUUUUGUGGGGAAACCGUUAGCAAACUUGUCUUUUGAAACUCGUACAACGUUCUUAAGACAACUGUUUAGCUGCAGUCUGCAAUUUGGCGAUCUAGCGGUUAAUAAACAGAAUUCGUCUUGCGGAAGAACACUGCAGCCGGAGCUACUUCUCCUGUUUGUCUAUGACGAGUCACGCAGGGACUUUGCUCCUCCGCAGCGAUUCCUACUUGACCGGCCUGAAAUAGUCCCAAUAUAAACACUUAUUAUAAAUGUAUAAUGAUUCGGGGUAAGACAAAAACACGGUUAGGAAAAUGGAUUGUUGGAUGGAUGGAAAGAAAAUGAAUGUUGUACAUUCUCAUUAUAUAAUUUUUGUAAAUCUUAAAACACAAAAAAAGUUACAGACAGCAGCUAAUCUAAUAAAAUUUGUAUAAAAAGUGGACCUAGCCCAGAGCCUAUAUUGUUAAAAAUAGCAUCCAUGUCUGACACAAUCAAUUUUGAAUGGAGCCCUUUAGCCAAUCUACUGCCCAUGUGGGGCCCAACAACAAAGCCCACUCUGAGCCCAUGCCCAGCCGAAGCCCAACUAGCCCAAGCGAGGCCCAUGUGGGCCCCAACUGGACGUGUUUGCAGGGAUGUUGUUUCUUCUGCAGAACACAAAAGGAGAUAUUUCCUGUUGUACUACUAGCAAGAUAUUUUAAGACUGCUCUGAAAUCAGGAAUUGCAGGAAAUGAACCUGGACUGACAUUUUUAUCGGAUUAACAUCAGUUUGCACAUAUUUAACCCUUUCAAGCGUGAGUUUAAAAUAUUCUAACUGACCCCCCAGAGUGAGUUUUUUUAAGGCGACCGUUAUUUUAGAACGUUUGCCCUUAUUGUUUCCAUGGCGACGCGUCUUGCGUGUCACGAGCGCUGAACACAGCCACAAUAACACUGUAUGACAGAUGGAUCGCUAUUAUUUUGUUUUUCCUUUUUUAUUUAAAAUAUUCGCAAACUUGCUUACCAUGUCAUCAACCAUAUGAUAUUCCGAUUCUCAAAUAUGUGUAAGUGAGUGUGUUCUGUCGUUUAAAAACCUUUAUAAACGAUCUUUAUCUUGAUCUAUAAUGCGAGAUGGGCGCCGCCAUCUUAGUUUGCGCUGCAGUUCAGAGUCCUGUCAGUCGGAUUUACAGCAUGUGAAUUCAUCAGUUUCUCCCGAAAUAUAUGCAAGUGGCUGGUGAACUGGAAGAAUAAUAGAGUAAACUUUAUAGUUACUUAGGCCCAUUAUGUGUGUCUGAUGUGAAUAAAUGUCGGCAAAUUAUAUUUGAAUGGAUUGUUAUUACUGCUUCCACUGAUGUUUGACAUCAGUGUGUAUUUUAUAAACUCUAAAUGUAUUGUUUUAAUGGUGCCGCUCAAAGGGUUAAAUCCAGAAUUUAGCUGGUUAACUCCAGAAUUUUUAACUGUAAGGCCAGUUUUUACCAUAUAACCAAGGAACCAAGGGUUUCAGCCUAAAAAUUAGAGGAGUCACCAGAUACUAUCUCACUUCAGAAAACAGAAGUCAGUAUCUGAGGCAACUCAGGAACAUGACAGGGAAUGAGUCUACAGAGUAUUUCAGUCAUCAAGAUUUACAGAAGGCCAGGAUAGAGAAGGAUAUGGCAGAUGUAAAUGCCUUUGUAGAACUUAUGGAGAGAAGCUGGGUAAACCCCCUAGGUCCAGAUCAGUCUGAUAUCAUUAGCAUCUCCACAGGAAUGGCUGUGUGACCAGACAUAGCCAGUGAUCUGCUGCAAGCUCACCAGACUGGAGAGCAGGCAUAUCAGACGUUCAGAAGUGAACGUUUAGAAAAAGAGUCACCUGCAACCAAGUUCCAUGACAAAAUGAGAAAACAGAAUCUGAAGACAUUCUCAAGCAUCAAGACAAGUGCUAGAGUAAAACAAGCACAGAAGAACAAAAGGUGUCCAUUGCCUUGGGCACUCUCAAAUCCAGAUGGCUCAUUGCGGAACACUAAUAAUGCUGCUCUUGCAAGAGAGUUAGAGAAAUCAGCAUCAUCAGUUGAAGAUAUUGGAGAACACUCUGCAUGCAUCAUUGAUGGAAUGAGCCUUGUUCAGAAACUAAAAGGUGAUGGCAAGUCUUUUGGAGAGAUUGCUGGUUCUGCGCUGAACCUAACGUUGCAUGAAGGAAGAAACAGUAAGCGAAUAGAUGUGGUGUUUGAUGUGUACUGGAAAACAUCAAACAAGAAUGCUGAGAGAUACAAUCGUGGUUCAGCAAGUAGCACUCAAUGGAAGAACAUUGCCCCGGGACACAAUGUAGUGCAGUGGGGAAAGCUGGUAAGUAAUACAGACAGUAAAACAGCCUUGAUAACUUACCACUCCCAAACUUGUGUUUAGGAAACAGGACAUUCCAAGAGUCCUUCAAAUCCCUGGGAACAUCCUGGGAUGUAUCAGAGGAAUUAUAGAUCAUCAUGGAAUCAAUUUGCACCAUUGUCUAGUGUAUGUGAUUAUCUACGUUACCUGCUAUUCUUUACCAAAAGGGGUGAAGUGGAUUCCAGCCUACUUCCCCCUUGCAGGGACUGCUUAAAGCUGCAUAUACAGCGUGCCAAUUGCCAGGCAGCUGUCUGGAGGCACUGUCUGGAAGGACAGCCAGACAUACCUGAACCAAAAGGACAUGGAUGGACAACUGAUGACAAAGGUAUGCUGAUGUUAGAUUGGAUGCGGGGACCCCCACCACCAAUGGCUGUUCUGGAGCUUAUGGCUUAAGUGUUCACGGACUUGCAAGCUUCCUGACUGUUCCUGUCUUGCCAACAAAUUAAAGUGCACAGAAAUGUGCAAGCUACAAACCUGUAGCAAUCAGAGGGAGGAGGAGCAUACCGAUGUCAUGAAACUGGUUGAAUAUGAUGACGACGACGAUGAUGAUGAUGAUAAAUAAAUAAACAGAAACAGUUUGCAAUGACCAAAUAAGUUUAUGAACAAGGUAGAAUUAUUUUGUUUUUCUUUGUAUGACAUGUUCUGUUCAAAUAAAGAUUUUUUUCAUUCUUCGGCUCAACAGUUGGUGUCAUUGAAGGCUGAUUUCUGUGACAAAGCUACCACUAAAAAGGUUAUCAUGUUGUAAUAUCAUCUAGAGUGGUUCCCAAACCGGUCCUGGAGGAC